rnacentral:rRNA from 1 species
GGCCCUUACGGCCUGGGCUACACACGUGCUACAAUGGUCGGUACAGAGGGUUGCCAAGCCGCGAGGUGGAGCUAAUCUCACAAAACCGAUCGUAGUCCGGAUCGCAGUCUGCAACUCGACUGCGUGAAGUCGGAAUCGCUAGUAAUCGCGAAUCAGAAUGUCGCGGUGAAUACGUUCCCGGGCCUUGUACACACCGCCCGUCACACCAUGGGAGUGGGUUGCACCAGAAGUAGCUAGUCUAACCUUCGGGAGGACGGUUACCACGGUGUGAUUCAUGACUGGGGUGAAGUCGUAACAAGGUAGCCGUAGGGGAACCUG